CUGGCGGCGUGCUUAACACAUGCAAGUCGAACGGAUGAAAUAAGCUUGCUAUUUCGUCAGUGGCGCACGGGUGAGUAAUGUAUAGCUAACCUGCCCUUUAGUGGGGGACAACAGUUGGAAACGACUGCUAAUACCCCAUACUCCAGCCUAUCAAAAGGUAGGUUGGGAAAGAUUUAUUGCUAAAGGAUGGGGCUUUAUGGUAUCAGCUAGUUGGUGGGGUAACGGCCUACCAAGGCAAUGACGCCUACCUGGUCUGAGAGGAUGAUCAGGCACACUGGAACUGAGACACGGUCCAGACUCCUACGGGAGGCAGCAGUGGGGAAUAUUGCACAAUGGGGGAAACCCUGAUGCCAGCAACGCCGCGUGGAGGAUGACGCAUUUCGGUGUGUAAACUCCUUUUAUAAGGGAAGAUAAUGACGGUACCUUAUGAAUAAGCACCGGCUAACUCCGUGCCAGCAGCGGC
rnacentral:rRNA from 1 species